UACGUAGGGAGCAAGCGUUGUCCGGAAUCAUUGGGCGUAAAGCGCGCGUAGGCGGCCCGGUAAGUCCGUUGUGAAAGUCAAAGGCUCAACCUUUGAAAGCCGAUGGAUACUGCCGGGCUGGAGUCCGGAAGAGGCGAGUGGAAUUCCUGGUGUAGCGGUGGAAUGCGCAGAUAUCAGGAGGAACACCAAUAGCGAAGGCAGCUCGCUGGGACGGUACUGACGCUGAUGCGCGAAAGCCAGGGGAGCGAACGGG
rnacentral:rRNA from 1 species